CCUACGGGAGGCAGCAGUGAGGAAUAUUGCACAAUGGGGGAAACCCUGAUGCAGCGACGCCGCGUGGGUGACGAAGUAUUUCGGUAUGUAAAGCCCUAUCAGCAGGGAAGAAGAUGACAGUACCUGACCAAGAAGCCCCGGCUAACUACGUGCCAGCAGCCGCGGUAAUACGUAGGGGGCAAGCGUUAUCCGGAUUUACUGGGUGUAAAGGGAGCGUAGGUGGCAUGGCAAGCCAGAAGUGAAAACCCGGGGCUUAACCCCGCGGAUUGCUUUUGGAACUGUCAGGCUGGAGUGCAGGAGGGGCAGGCGGAAUUCCUGGUGUAGCGGUGAAAUGCGUAGAUAUCAGGAGGAACACCGGUGGCGAAGGCGGCCUGCUGGACUGUAACUGACACUGAGGCUCGAAAGCGUGGGGAGCAAACAGGAUUAGAUACCCGAGUAGUC
rnacentral:rRNA from 1 species